UACGUAGGGGGCAAGCGUUGUCCGGAAUCAUUGGGCGUAAAGCGCGUGUAGGCGGCCCGGUAAGUCCGCUGUGAAAGUCCAGGGCUCAACCCUGGGAUGCCGGUGGAUACUGUCGGGCUCGAGUCCGGAAGAGGCGAGUGGAAUUCCUGGUGUAGCGGUGAAAUGCGCAGAUAUCAGGAGGAACACCAGUGGCGAAGGCAGCGCGCUGGGACGUGACUGACGCUGAGACGCGAAAGCGUGGGGAGCGAACCGG
rnacentral:rRNA from 1 species